UUCUGGAGUUGUGAUGCUCACAAGUCACAAUUUUUUGUGAGGUUUCUUAUGAGGUUCUCACAAUUCCGUAUUCUCCGAAAAACCUCAUAAGAAACCUCACAGUAUACUCACCACAGAAGAGGUGAGUUCUCACUCUGACAGCUGAUUUGUUUUGACAAGAUUAAAAAAAAAAAAAAACAAGAACAUACAAUACGCCCAAAGUAAAUACUUGGAUUCUUCGAAUUAUAAAAAUAAAAACAAUUAAAAACAAGAAAAAGAAGCGACAUUAAUAACCCGAAGGAAUCCGUCACUAUCCAGUUAGUACACAGAUGAAGUCAACAAUAUCCUAUGGUCGGCGAUGAGAGUGCUCCUCAGCAUGUUCUACAUAAACCGACUCCAUCCAUCAAACAAUAAUAAUGUAGAUCCAAAGAAACGGCAGGAAAACAACCACCUAAAGCCCAUGCAGCACAUAGAGUACGAUGUUCAAUAAAAGUUCCAUUUGUCAUUGAUACCAAUUGCCUCCUCCCAGCCAAAAGUAUGAUAUCCGAUGACGAAGGUGCAAGUAAUGGAAGUCAUUCAGAUAAUAAACCGAGUCAAUCACGAGUGGGUGACAACUGUAUUUGUGAAAGAUUUGUUGGGCGAUGAGCAAUGCUGGAGGAAAACAAUGACGAUGAAGUUGGAAUUAUGGAACUUUUAUUCAUUAUCAACCUGUGAUGACAGCAGCAUUUCUUUCUGAAUUUUUUACAAUUGUCAACAAGUUGCGUUGCAUUCAACGUAUCCAUGACAGUACGCAAGUGCUACACAUUUGCCCGGUGGAUCUCAGUCGGUUGACCAUAAAUUUAUUCACUCCAUCAGCACAACAUAACCACUAUAACCAGUCCAAUUUACAGAAAUCAUAUUCGCAGUUCGCACCUACUUUUGUUGCAAAACUUCAUUGACUGCUGGUGGGAUGCUCUAACUUUGAAUGUGUUUAUGUGCUAUGGCUUGAGCAUCUAAUUAAAAGUUUGAGAAUUUAAAAUGCGCGAGUAAAAAAUGGACGAAAAGACUGUGUUGCAAUUUACUUCGCAGAUUUGGACUUAGAAUUCGAUGGGUGGAUCCGAAUUUGACAUCAUGAAAACUGAUGCUGUUUGUCAAAUAUAUUUAUAUUCUAGCCGAACUGAAUACUUUUUUUGAUGCGUAUACCUAUUUUCGAAAUGCCAACAGAUUAGGUAUAUUGCGAUUGGACAGUUAAUAUGUUGUUGCAUUUUUUAUUCCACCUUCUAUGAAGUAAGACAACAACAAAACUCUCAGUGCGUUCCCAUCGGUAACGGAGGAAGCAACACGUGCACUAGAUGGUAGCUGACUUUUGUUGACAUGACAAAUGUCCGUCUCCCUUACAUGAAUAGAUGGCACAAACCCAUGUAUUUGACAAAAACACGACAAACUUUUGAUUUUUGUUGAAUAUUAAUUAAAUUUUAUUUUUAGAUGAACGUUAGUAC